rnacentral:rRNA from 1 species
CGCCAGACUCCUACGGGAGGCAGCAGUGGGGAAUAUUGCGCAAUGGGCGAAAGCCUGACGCAGCGACGCCGCGUGAGGGAGUACUGCCCUAUGGGUUGUAAACCUCUUUUGUCGGGGAGCAAAAGCCGGACGUGUCCGGCUGUGAGAGUACCCGAAGAAAAAGCAUCGGCUAACUCCGUGCCAGCAGCCGCGGUAAUACGGAGGAUGCGAGCGUUAUCCGGAUUUAUUGGGUUUAAAGGGUGCGUAGGCGGACUGGAAAGUCAGCGGUAAAAUCGAGAGGCUCAACCUCUUUCCGCCGUUGAAACUGUCGGUCUUGAGUGGGCGAGAAGUAUGCGGAAUGCGUGGUGUAGCGGUGAAAUGCAUAGAUAUCACGCAGAACUCCGAUUGCGAAGGCAGCAUACCGGCGCCCAACUGACGCUGAGGCACGAAAGCGUGGGUAUCGAACAGGAUUAGAUACCCGUGUAG